GAUGAACGCUGGCGGCGUGCCUAAUACAUGCAAGUCGAGCGAACAGACGAGGAGCUUGCUCCUCUGACGUUAGCGGCGGACGGGUGAGUAACACGUGGAUAACCUACCUAUAAGACUGGGAUAACUUCGGGAAACCGGAGCCAAUACCGGAUAAUAUAUUGAACCGCAUGGUUCAAUAGUGAAAGACGGUUUUGCUGUCACUUAUAGAUGGAUCCGCGCCGCAUUAGCUAGUUGGUAAGGUAACGGCUUACCAAGGCGACGAUGCGUAGCCGACCUGAGAGGGUGAUCGGCCACACUGGAACUGAGACACGGUCCAGACUCCUACGGGAGGCAGCAGUAGGGAAUCUUCCGCAAUGGGCGAAAGCUUGACGGAGCAACGCCGCGUGAGUGAUGAAGGUCUUCGGAUCGUAAAGCUCUGUUAUUAGGGAAGAACAAAUGUGUAAGUAACUAUGCACGUCUUGACGGUACCUAAUCAGAAAGCCACGGCUAACUACGUG
rnacentral:rRNA from 1 species